rnacentral:rRNA from 1 species
ACCUGGUUGAUCCUGCCAGUAGUCAUAUGCUUGUCUCAAAGAUUAAGCCAUGCAAAUGCCAGUAUAAGCAACUUUUACUGCGAAACUGUGAAUGGCUCAUUAAAUCGGUUAUAGUUUAUUUGAUGGUACAAUUGCUACUUGGAUAACCGUGGUAAUUCUAGAGCUAAUACAUGCGAAAAGACCCGACUUACGAAGGGUUGUAUUUAUUAGAUAAAAAACCAAUCCGGGCAACCGGUGCUAGGUGAAUCAUAAUAACUUCGCGAAUCGCAUGGCCUUGUGCCGGCGAUGAAUCAUUCAAAUUUCUGCCCUAUCA